ACACAUGCAGUCGAACGGUAACAGGAARAAGCUUGCUKYUUUGCUGACGAGUGGCGGACGGGUGAGUAAUGUCUGGGAAACUGCCUGAUGGAGGGGGAUAACUACUGGAAACGGUAGCUAAUACCGCAUAACGUCGCAAGACCAAAGAGGGGGACCUUCGGGCCUCUUGCCAUCGGAUGUGCCCAGAUGGGAUUAGCUUGUUGGUGGGGUAACGGCUCACCWAGGCGACGAUCCCUAGCUGGUCUGAGAGGAUGACCAGCCACACUGGAACUGAGACACGGUCCAGACUCCUACGGGAGGCAGCAGUGGGGAAUAUUGCACAAUGGGCGCAAGCCUGAUGCAGCCAUGCCGCGUGUAUGAAGAAGGCCUUCGGGUUGUAAAGUACUUUCAGCGGGGAGGAAGGGAGUAAAGUUAAUACCUUURCUCAUUGACGUUACCCGCAGAAGAAGCACCGGCUAACUCCGUGCCAGCAGCCGCGGUAAUACGGAGGGUGCAAGCGUUAAUCGGAAUUACUGGGCGUAAAGCGCACGCAGGCGGUUUGUUAAGUCAGAUGUGAAAUCCCCGGGCUCAACCUGGGAACUGCAUCUGAUACUGGCAAGCUUGAGUCUCGUAGAGGGGGGUAGAAUUCCAGGUGUAGCGGUGAAAUGCGUAGAGAUCUGGAGGAAUACC
rnacentral:rRNA from 1 species